rnacentral:rRNA from 1 species
GACGAACGCUGGCGGCGUGCUUAACACAUGCAAGUCGAACGGAAAGGCCCUGCUUUUGUGGGGUGCUCGAGUGGCGAACGGGUGAGUAACACGUGAGUAACCUGCCCUUGACUUUGGGAUAACUUCAGGAAGCUGGGGCUAAUACCGGAUAGGAGCUCCUGCUGCAUGGUGGGGGUUGGAAAGUUUCGGCGGUUGGGGAUGGACUCGCGGCUUAUCAGCUUGUUGGUGGGGUAGUGGCUUACCAAGGCUUUGACGGGUAGCCGGCCUGAGAGGGUGACCGGCCACAUUGGGCCUGAGAUACGGCCCAGACUCCUACGGGAGGCAGCAGUGGGGAAUAUUGCACAAUGGGCGGAAGCCUGAUGCAGCAACGCCGCGUGCGGGAUGACGGCCUUCGGGUUGUAAACCGCUUUCGCCUGUGACGAAGCGUGAGUGACGGUAGUGGGUAAAGAAGCACCGGCUAACUACGUG